UGGAACUUUGGCGUAGAGGGUUCGCGCGGAUGCCUGAAGAGCAUCAGGACUCGGUUCGAUUCCGAGAGGUUCCACCCA
rnacentral:tRNA from 1 species